GAUGAACGCUGGCGGCGUGCCUAAUACAUGCAAGUCGAGCGAACAGACGCGGACCUUGCUCCUCUGACGUUAGCCGCGGACGGGUGAGUACCACGUGGGUAACCUACCUAUAAGACUGGGAUAACUUCGGGAAACCGGAGCUAAUACCGGAUAAUAUAUUAAACCGCAUGGUUCAAUAGUGAAAGACGGUUUUGCUGUCUCUUAUAGAUGGAUCCGCGCCGCAUUAGCUAGUUGGUAAGGUAACGGCUUACCAAGGCGACGAUGCGUAGCCGACCUGAGAGGGUGAUCGGCCACACUGGAACUGAGACACGGUCCAGACUCCUACGGGAGGCAGCAGUAGGGAAUCUUCCGCAAUGGGCGAAAGCCUGACGGAGCAACGCCGCGUGAGUGAUGAAGGUCUUCGGAUCGUAAAACUCUGUUAUUAGGGAAGAACAAAUGUGUAAGUAACUAUGCACGUCUUGACGGUACCUAAUCAGAAAGCCACGGCUAACUACGUG
rnacentral:rRNA from 1 species